rnacentral:rRNA from 1 species
AGAGCGAACGCUGGCGGCAGGCCUAACACAUGCAAGUCGAGCGCCCGUAGCAAUACGGGAGCGGCAGACGGGAUAGUAACACGUGGGAACGCGCCCUUCGGUUCGGAAUAACUCAGGGAAACUUGAGCUAAUACCGGAUACGCCCUUACGGGGAAAGAUUUAUUGCCGAAGGAACGGCCCGCGUCCGAUUAGCUAGUUGGUGAGGUAAUGGCUCACCAAGGCGACGAUCGGUAGCUGGUCUGAGAGGAUGACCAGCAUCACUGGGACUGAGACACGGCCCAGACUCCUACGGGAGGCAGCAGUGGGGAAUAUUGGACAAUGGGCGCAAGCCUGAUCCAGCCAUGCCGCGUGGAUGAUGAAGGCCUUAGGGUUGUAAAGUCCUUUAACGGGAAGAUAAUGACGGUACCGUAGAAUAAGCCCGGCUAACUUCGUGCCAGCAGCCGC